rnacentral:rRNA from 1 species
AGUGAACGCUGGCGGUAGGCCUAACACAUGCAAGUCGAACGGCAGCACAGUAAGAGCUUGCUCUUACGGGUGGCGAGUGGCAGACGGGUGAGGAAUACAUCGGAAUCUACUUUUUCGUGGGGGAUAACGUAGGGAAACUUACGCUAAUACCGCAUACGACCUACGGGUGAAAGCAGGGGAUCUUCGGACCUUGCGCGAUUGAAUGAGCCGAUGUCGGAUUAGCUAGUUGGCGGGGUAAAGGCCCACCGAGGCGACGAUCCGUAGCUGGUCUGAGAGGAUGAUCAGCCACACUGGAACUGAGACACGGUCCAGACUCCUACGGGAGGCAGCAGUGGGGAAUAUUGGACAAUGGGCGCAAGCCUGAUCCAGCCAUACCGCGUGGGUGAAGAAGGCCUUCGGGUUGUAAAGCCCUUUUGUUGGGAAAGAAAAGCAGCAGGUUAAUACCCCGCUGUUCUGACGGUACCCAAAGAAUAAGCACCGGCUAACUUCGUG